ensembl:lncRNA TEX41 testis expressed 41
CACUCAGCUUUCUGAAAUGGUGUCCCACCGCAAGGACUGGAGAAGGUUACUCCAAGUGUGCCUGCCUCUCCUGCUUCCCCUCCAACCUCCUCCACCUCUGCCACCUCUGAGACAGCAAGACCAACCCUUCCUCUGCCUCCUCCU